rnacentral:rRNA from 1 species
UACGUAGGUGGCAAGCGUUGUCCGGAUUUACUGGGCGUAAAGCGCGCGCAGGCGGUGUGUCACGUCGUUCGUGAAAACCUGCAGCUUAACUGUGGGCGUGCGGUCGAUACGGGCAUCACUGGAGUUCGGCAGGGGAGACUGGAAUUCCCGGUGUAGCGGUGAAAUGCGUAGAGAUCCGGAAGAACACCGGUGGCGAAGGCGGUCUGCUGGGGUCGAACUGACGCUGAGGCGCGACAGCGUGGGGAGCAAACAGG